GGAUGUGUGCCUGAAUAAUAAAGGAUUACUUUGAUAGAGUAAACUAUGGGAGUUAAAAUCUCCCCGCCUCCU
rnacentral:tRNA from 1 species